UACGUAGGGUGCAAGCGUUAAUCGGAAUUACUGGGCGUAAAGCGUGCGCAGGCGGUUUUGUAAGUCUGUCGUGAAAGCCCCGGGCUCAACCUGGGAAUUGCGAUGGAGACUGCAAGGCUUGAAUCUGGCAGAGGGGGGUAGAAUUCCACGUGUAGCAGUGAAAUGCGUAGAGAUGUGGAGGAACACCGAUGGCGAAGGCAGCCUUCUGGACCAGCACUGACACUCAAGCACGAAAGCGUGGGGAGCAAACAGG
rnacentral:rRNA from 1 species